GUCCGUUAGUAGUCCAGUAAUCCUUUGUCAGAAUAAUUUAGCGGAUGAGAUUGUUCAAAUAUUAAAAUAAAAUGGAUAAUUCUAUUGUACCAGAUCCAUUAAAUUUAGAUACGGAAGAAUUGUUCGAUAAAGUUACUUGUAAACGCAGAUCUUUGGUUUUUCAAUCACGAACUUCAAAAUUAUUUAUCGACGAAGAAAUAGAUCAAGCGAGAACUCUUGAAAACGAGGAUUUUGUAUCGAUCAAUAAAUGUAAACGAAAAUGUGUGGAGGAUGUAACGAGAACAGAAAACUUUGAUUUGCAAAAAUAUAUACAUGACCUUAAACAAGAAAGAAAAUUAUGGCAGUCAACGUUAAAAGAACGUAAAUCAAAAAGACGCGUUCUUUCAAAACAAAAAUCUGUUUUAGAAACAUUAGGGGAGAAUUUAGAUUCCAAAGCAUUAUCCGAUUCGGAAAGAUCUUUUCUUUCAGCUUCCCCAAAUUAUGAAUAUAUUUAUGAAAAUAGUCAGAAAUUAUCGGAUACGGCUCUUAAAAUAACCUUAUUAAAUGAAUUAACAUUUAAGUUAAAUGAAAGGUUUAUGACAAGGAUGAAAGAGAAGCUGGAUAAGACUACAAAAAAAGUUAUUGAAAUGUCAGGAUAACAAAUGUUUUAACCUAAUGAGAUUAUGUAAAUAGUAAUAUUUGUUUAUAAAUAGGAUAAAACAUUAUGUAUAUAAUCAUAUUUUACAUUGGUUUAUAAUAGUUAAGUUAGAUAGAGUAUAUUAUUUAAAGUUUUUUUACCGAUAUACUUUUUUAUCAUGCCUUAAUACUGUUAAAAGUACAAUUUUGCAUAUGUAUCAUGAUUUAUGGUGUUUUACACAAUAUAUCAAUAUACAUAUGAAAUAUAAAAUGCUAAAAAAAAAAAAAAAUCUAAUGAAUAAUUAAUUUCGAAUAUUUAAAAUAAUAUAAACAAUGUCUUUGGUAGAAAGCUUUUCUAAAUGUCAUCACUAUGAUGACAGAAUUGUAACUUAUUUUUACAUUAUCCAAAUUUUUUACAUUUUUUAUAAUAUAGAGUGCAUCUUAGUAUUUUAGAUAAUGUAAAAUGGAACAAAGUAACCAAUAGAGCUGUCAUCUAUGCAAAUGAAAACUUUUUCUUCUUGCUGCUUUUCUUUCCUUCUGGGCCAGUGAUAUUGAGCAAAAAAAUGUAUACCACUUAAAUUGUCUAAAGUAGAAGAAUGUGGUGUAUAAACCAAUGUAAAUAUUGUUUUUGAUCCUUUGUUUUCAGUUAUUUCACACCAUGCAAUGUUAUCUAUAUGAUAACUCACUGCACGUUGUCUAUUCCAGAAUCGACUGGCACCUUUUCCUGUUAACACUGGAUCAAUCUCAAUCUUCUCACCCGAUAUUCCAAGGUGAAUCUCAGUCUUUGCUCUCACUUUAUUUAUUAUGUAUACUCUGUUCAUAAACAUAAAUAUGUAAUAUGUUUAUCAUUUAGAUAUUCUUCAAAUGCUAUAUGAUAAUAGAAAUGCACCUAUAUGAUUGAUAUAAUGGAGCUUCCAUUGCUGUUGUAUGACCUUCCAUCUUGGCUAAAUCUUUUGCUACUUCUUCUUGUUCUUUUUCUUUGCCUUCUAAUUCUUCAUUGACUUCUGUUUCAAUAUGUUUUAUUGUAUUAUGUCGUGCUCUAUCACUUGGUUUCAUUUCAACAAGACCUAAUGUUGUGAAUUCAAAUUUGGAUAUUACUUCUCUUGGAUCUAAACAAGGAAAGUCCCAAUCUACCUCUCCAUCAUCUUCAGUAAUAUAUAAACCAUAUUUUGUAAUAUCUUCCCUGUUAAUUAAA